CCAGUCUGAACCAGAUCCAGGCCUAGAGUGUGUCCAACCGUGGUCGUGGCACAGUCCGCUCCUCUGAAGCCACGCCCCCUAAUCAGCACAACUGCUUCCACCUGGGUGGAGCCACCCAGUAUAUAUACACCUUUCCAGACUGUCAUUGUUCCAUCCAGACUCUUCAGCACUUGUUUCCUGGCUGCUUCUCUGAGCCUGACCUUUGACCUUCACCUUGUCUCUGCUGCGGUGCCACUUCUCCAGAGGUCCCAGCGUCACAUUACACCUGGCAGGAGGACCGUUUGCCAAAGUUAUGUCUGGGAGCAGCCAAUAACGAUGAAGGCAGAAGGAAACGCUCACCCAUUUCAUUGAGGCUGGAGAAGCCAGCAGUCAUCGGAGCGUGUUUGGGGGAUUUGCCCAGAUUUGGUGCACUGGACGACCACACUUUACACCCUUCACCCAGGGAUUUGAGUCUGGAAACACACAGAGCUCCUGCUCUCGUCUCCUCAGCUGCUCCUCCUGCUCCCUCUGCUCCUCGGCCGCUCGAGCCAGUGCCUCCUCCCAAGAUCUGAGCUCCUGAGGACCAGUUAAGACCAAACAGGAGACGUGUCCACAGCUCAUCAAACAUCUGCUGGAUCUCCAGCCUCCAGUCCUCCUGUAGGGAGUGAAAGGACUCCAGAGGCAUCUGAAACAUGGCCGACUGCUCGAUGGCCAGCAGUCGCCUCAGGAUGCUGGUGAACGAGGGUCGGCUGUGGGGAGUGGGGCUCCAACACUCUGGAACAACCGUCACAACAAACCAGAUUUAACCAAAGUAUCAAUCAUGUAGUUCCUGGAUCAGGUGACGUCAACGUUCUGUAAUAAUUUGAAUGCCUAGUAUAUACUGGUUUAACCAACCAUGUAUUUUUCUCACAGUAAAUCUAAAAAAAACAGCAUCAUCCCUGAACUAAAUUAAAUAAAACAUACUAUAUCUGAAUGAUAAACCAAAACCUUAACUUCAGUUACAGUGUUCAGAGCCACACUGUGUUGACACACAUCACUGCUGUGGGUUGGGCUGGGACUCAAUAAAUGGGUCACUACUCAGUGUGGCAGUUAUUUUUACCUUGAUAUUUUCUUUCAUGUUUUUAUUUUUUAUUGGUUAGUCCUGUUCAUGAAUCAGGUUGGUUUCGUAAAGACCGCUGAGCUGUUUUAAGGCCCUUAAAAAUGCAUUUAAAUGUCACUUAUAUCUGUGUUUCAUUUCACUUGAUUCUAUAAUAGAUGGUUAUAAAGAGACUGGACAGAAGAUGGAACAAUGGCCUGAAUAACUGAAUAACACUUGUUUUCCAUCUCUGGCUGAGGAGAAAGCGACAGAAUUCCCAGACAGCAGGAUGGUACGGCAUAUGGUGACCGUCCUGAGCCAAACCCUGGCUGACAGUGUGACAGAAACAAAGCUACAACUAUCCAUCAAACAAAUUCUAUCUCUGCGUCCAUCACGACCUGGACAAAUGUCCUUGACAACGAGGACGUUUGUCCCCACAUAGACCAGAACAAAGGGGACACAGAGCACGGCUGUACCUCCACA